ensembl:lincRNA
GAUUAAAAUGAACUGCCAGUGAUUCAUUUGACAAGCGGAAGUUUCAGUAAGAAGACGAAGACCACACCAAUCUAUGAGGUAACAUUUAGAGGUUUAGAAUAAGAUUUUUAUAAAUACGCUACGUUUUUCUCUUUCAGAGCUCCUUUUUCUUUUUCAGUUCCAAUCUUGUCCUAUUCUUCAUCCUGGUUGAGGAUUUUUGCUGUGCUUAUCCGCUUAGACGGGUUAGCUAAUUCCUCCUCCAUCUCUUCAGGGGUUUCUGGAAGAAGACGGUUGGUGACAGUUGACUGACAAGCAUUCGAAUCUGCGACGUGAAGCGAUUCAGUUCUCAAUGAUUCAAAUCUUUUUUCUGAAUGAUUAAUUUUAUCAUUUAUAAUGCAAACCACACUGUUAUGCCACUAGGUGGCAAAAACAAGCGUCUUUUUAAGUAUGAUAGACUAUCUGUAUGAACCUGUAAAGCUGAUUUAUUAAAACACAACUAUUCC